GACGUAGGGCGCGAGCGUUGUCCGGAUUUAUUGGGCGUAAAGAGCUCGUAGGCGGCCUUCUAAGUCAGACGUGAAAUCCCCCGGCUUAACCUGGGAACUGCGUCUGAUACUGGGAGGCUUGAGUAUGGGAGAGGGAUGUAGAAUUCCAGGUGUAGCGGUGAAAUGCGUAGAUAUCUGGAGGAAUACCGGUGGCGAAGGCGGCAUCCUGGACCAUAACUGACGCUGAGGCGCGAAAGCUAGGGGAGCAAACGGG
rnacentral:rRNA from 1 species